rnacentral:lncRNA from 1 species
CUAUACAUAAAGCAACCUUCGUGGUUACACCAUAAGGAAAUAAGGAAUAAGAGUGUAUUCCGCGGUUCUACAAAGUUCAUCUAUACACCCUCAAAAACUCUCAUAUUUCUCUCACCAAACAACCUGCAUACUUCCAAAGGAGCAACAUUCCAUGCCCGUUUUCCUUUCCACCCAUCAGUCUAUCACAAUUCCAACUAAAUUUAGCUCUUUCAUGGUCCUUGGAUCACCCAAGUUCUACCAAACCAACACAAAAUCUCCACAUUUACUGAAACUUGCUGAUUGGGACGAGGCACCUAAUUCAAGCACUCAUUUCCUCAUUACAUGUGCAUAAUUAAGUCAAAAUCUAGCAGGCAUUCAGCAUAUUAUACUCUCUUAAAGAAUUCUAUAUCACCCACAGAAUGCCGGAUCUAAGUUUCAAAAAUAGACCAUGAAAUGACAAGUUCGUAGCAGACAUUGAUAAGAAUGAAGGCAUUCAAGCACUCAUUUCCUCAUUACAUGUCCAAAAUAAAGAAAAAAUCUAGCAGACAUUCAGUAUAUUAUACUCUCUUAAG